CCUACGGGAGGCAGCAGUGGGGAAUAUUGGGCAAUGGGCGCAAGCCUGACCCAGCAACGCCGCGUGAAGGAAGAAGGCUUUCGGGUUGUAAACUUCUUUUCUCAGGGACGAAGAAAGUGACGGUACCUGAGGAAUAAGCCACGGCUAACUACGUGCCAGCAGCCGCGGUAAUACGUAGGUGGCAAGCGUUAUCCGGAUUUAUUGGGUGUAAAGGGCGUGUAGGCGGGGGCGCAAGUCAGAUGUGAAAACUCAGGGCUCAACCCUGAGCCUGCAUUUGAAACUGUGUUUCUUGAGUGCACACAGGGAUGCCGGAAUUCAUGGUGUAGCGGUGAAAUGCGUAGAUAUCAGGAGGAACACCGGUGGCGAAGGCGGCUUACUGGACCAUAACUGACGUUGAGGCUCGAAAGCGUGGGGAGCGAACAGGAUUAGAUACCCUAGUAGUC
rnacentral:rRNA from 1 species